rnacentral:lncRNA from 1 species
AAAAAGACGAACUAUUGGAGGUGGUGGCCAAUGAUGCAUUUACUGUUUGCAGGAUAGUUAAAGGUGUUUAAAGGGUAAGGCUUUUGGUGUAAAUGCUGGAUGGGGUGUGUGUGUGUGUGGAUAUAGGGACCUCCCUCUGUACUGUGUACUGUGUAAUCGGCAUUAAUACCUAGACUCAUAUGUAUGGAAUUUUAAAUUCUCUUAGCCUACUGAUUGGUUUGGAUGAGCACACCAGCUGCAGGUGUGUGCUGAAUUGCAAGAUGGUAUUUUUUUUUUUAACCAAGGGAUGUCUCUUGUAAUACUAACCGCGUGAUAAUGGGUUUUCAGACAUGAUGAAAAAAAAAAACUUUUACAAAUGAAUACUUACCUUAGAAAUAUUCACCUUAGGAAAAAAGACUUUGCUCUGCCCUUUUAUAUUCCUUUAUGCUGCAAGUGGUGACAUGUUCAGAUUUCUAAUUUGGUUCAUUGUGGCCUAUCUGGUUUAAGUCUUUCAUUAAAAAUGUCUCGUUAGAGUAUUUGAUGUCAUGCACCAAAAAAAUAAAACCCCACCUUGUUGCAAAAGCUGACCUCGUUGCAUGGAAUUAAAAGAGAAGGAAAAACACAAGGAUGAAGUCUUUCCGAAUUCAUUCUUGUGGGAACUGGCCUUCGGAGCCAGCCAGCACUUUGGGCAAAUGCAAACAACAAUGAGUGCUUGAGAUAAAAGAAAGUGUGACGUCAUGGUCACUGGUACUCAGGCACUUCACAGUUUACUUGAAAGAGGCUUUGGAAAAUAGAUAAAGUGAAAGAAGAAUAAAUACAUAUUUUUAAUAAUGUAAUUUUAAAAAUCCUUUAUAAUCAGGACUGAGUCUUGGUUUGCAGAAGCUGUCACUUACCCUGAAACACAGUAUCAAAAGGGAAACUUAAAACAUACUGUUUGAUUUUUUUAUUUCCUCUUACAAUCCAUGUUUUCAGGUAGAAUUAUGACUUUCCCCCCAUUGUUACACAUUUCUUUACAAAGGAGGCCUGUAGAAAUUGGACACGAUCAUGCUUGAGCAUGUGAGUUAGUCAAAUUAUGAGUCCCUGCCUAUUGUCCAUUACACACCGAAUGUUAAUUUAAGAACCAGAGGCAGAAGUUCUGGCUUCCUGCUUGAAACCCAAUUCUUAUAUGAAAUUUUUUAAAAGCAGAAACCUAGCAGCCCAUCUGCUUUUUCUCUUUUGUCGGUGUAUUUGGUACCCCUCCAAUGCUGGUCUUUUUGUAGAAACUCAGUAGAGAAAGUCUAGCUAAGCAGUGUUGAAAAGCCUGCAAGAUUUCAGUUUACAUAUCGACAGCAUAUCCACUGAUUUCUAAAUGGGCUGGUCCCAUCAUCUGAAGAUUCUGUAUAGAAUUAUUAAAAAAAAAAUCCAUCUUUCUUUAUUUUCUUCACAUGCGACAAUUUCUUAAGCACUUUGACAUUUUGGUAGUUCCACACUAUUGAGAGAAUAAUAUAUUUAUUUUGUGACAUUGCAGAUGCCAAAUACUGUAACCUUCUCAUGAUAACAAUACUUAGGUUCAAGAUCACUGUUCAAACCCUGUCAUGCUUUAAAACUGAUGCGAGAUGAUUUUGUUUUUUGCAUAAUCAAUACUUAAGGGUGCAAUCAACUGUUAGUAAUUGUGCAGUAAAGUAAAGCCCUGUGGUGUAUCAACUACUAGUUAAGAGUCUCAGUUGAUUUCUGUAAUGUUUGACCUAAUAAUAGCCCGUUUCGUCUCUGACCCAACAGAGGAAGCACAGAUCAAAUCACCUUGGAGUGGUCACCAGGGGGACAGGGAGCCCCCCACCAAUGUAUCAAUGGGUGAUUUAUGAUGCCUUCUGCCCUUUGGCGAGUGAAUGGGUUUCCCAUAGGGGAAGUUGGCCUCCCUCCGUGAGCUUUGGAAAUGUUUUCUAAUAGACACAGGGAGGCCAGUUCUGUUUCAGAGCAAUUAUCUUCCCAAAUUCUCUGUUCUGGUGUUGGAACUGUGUGCCCUGGUUUCUGUUUUCCUUUCUACUGCUGUAAUUCUCUGUCUCAUCAUCCUUCUCUUUUGUUUCCAUAGCCUUUUAUAAUGCAUAUAUGAUGCUGUGAACAGAAAUAAAUUAUUUAUACAA